rnacentral:lncRNA from 1 species
GAAGCAUUCUCAGAAACUGAGUUGUGAUGUUUGCAUUCAACUCACAGAGUUCAACAUUCCUUUUAAUGGAGCGGUUUUGAAACACUCUUUUUGCAGAAUCUGCAAGUGGAUAUUUGGACCUCUUUGAGGCCUUCGUUGGAAACGGGAUUUCUUCAUGUAAUGCCAGACAGAAGAAUUCUCAGUGAAUUCUUUCUGUGUGUGUGUAUUCAACUCACAGAGUUGAACGUUCCUUUAGACAGAGUAGAUUGGAAACACUCUUUUUGUGGAAUUUUCAGGUGGAGGUAUCAAGCGCUUUGAGGCCAAUGAUAGAAAAGGAAAUACCUUUGUAUAAUAAUUAGACGGAAUCAUUCUCAGAAACUGCUUUGCAAUGUGUGCGUUCAACUCACAGUGUUUAACCUUUCUUUUCAUACAGUUGUUUCGAAACACUCUUUUUGCAGAAUCUUCAAGUGGAUAUUUGGACCUCUUUGAAGUCUUCGUUGGAAAUGGGAUUUCUUCAUAUAAUGCUAGACAGAAGACUUCUCAGUAACUGCUUUUUCUGGUGUGUAUUCAACUCUCAGAGUUGAA